UGAGGAAUAUUGGUCAAUGGGAGAGAUCCUGAACCAGCCAAGCCGCGUGAGGGAAGACGGCCCUAUGGGUUGUAAACCUCUUUUGUCGGAGAACAAAACCCGGGACGUGUCCCGGACUGCGUGUAUCCGAAGAAAAGCAUCGGCUAACUCCGUGCC
rnacentral:rRNA from 1 species